GUGCUUGGCUACAGCCGCUGCUGCCUCUCGCGAACUGGGCUCCGGGGCUCCCGGCUCCCGAGAACUAGAAGAGAAACGCGAGCGAAGGGAUCGAAACCCAGGGGGUUACCGACUUGCAGACACCGCCAGGACAGUCUGUAACGCAGGAAGAUCCCAGUGGCUCCGGGUCUGGUGAGGGGACCAUGAGCAUGACUGAUAGCGAAUGAGGAAGGGCAGCCCUAAACUUUUCAAGCAAAGCCUCAGAGUUUUGGGUUCACUCAUUAGGAUAGGAAAUCGAUUCACCGAAAACCCAAACAAAGAAAAACAAGCCGACAGUCCAGGCAGGAUGCAGGCAAAUCCAGUUCGGGAUUAAGGGUAAAAGGCUUUUUGGGGUUUUUUUCCUUUGGUUUGAUUUUUUAAAAUAUGGGGAGGGGGGUGACAUCUACCCGAUUCUAGGCUCCGGCAGGAACGCAAUGGGUUAAUGAAUGGACAAGCCGCGGAGUAUUGAUCGGCUGCCGCCGGAGAAAGAAAGAAAAACAAAAACCAGACCGAACCUGCCUUCCCGCUGUGGCUGCUCGGCGCCCCAAUUAAGCAGGGUCAUCUCAGGCUGGCUGCACGCCUCAGCUGAAGAUCCCAGCUCCUGUCAAUGCCACCUCUCUGCUUGACUGUCUCCCUCCAGAUUCGAGCAGGUAUGAGCUGGGAAGAAUGAAGGCAGGGCAUGCCCGUGUGCCAGCUCUGCACAGCUGGAUAGAUGAGGAAAGAUGUGGAGGAGAAGCCGGGGAUUGUGUGGAAGUCUAAGGGUGUUGUUUGCCCUUUGGGUUCCAGAAUAUGCAUGCCAGGACCCUGGGUGGCACUGCCAGGAAGCAACAGAGAGGAGAUAAAACUCACAGCAGACGGACUUGCCUUAACAACAACUCCCUUGAAUUAAAACACGCUUUUCAAGAAAACAAAUUAUCAGUUCGAUCAGCAAACAGCAGAGAAGUUUCUCUCAUAAUGGCAAAGAAGGGCCGGGUUGCUGACCAGUGUAAGAGCUUCAGAAAAGGAGAGGGGAGAUGAGAUGGCCAGAAGGAGCAAGAGCACCGUACAUCCCUGGACAACCUCAUUCUAAUGGGUCAGGGGCUGGGACGUGCAUUUUGGAGUGCAGGAGAAGUGGCAACUCACAAAUGCUAGAUUUUCUUCUAGAGAUGACCAAGCUGUAGUUCUUAAAGCAGUGGCACUAGGGCAGAAAACUCUCACACUUUGAUGUGCACACACAGCCCCUGGGGAUCUUGUUGACAUGUAGAUUCUGAUUCCGUAAGUCGGGCUGAGAUUCUGCAUUUCCAACAAGCUCCUAGAUGAGGUCCAUUUUGCUGGUCCAUGAAACACACUUAGAAUAAGUAGCAAGGUAUAGGAGGAUACUGACUUUGCUCAGUGAUGCUUGGGCUUCCCUCCAGACUAAAAUAAAACAAAAGCAGACAUAAAUGGCCCAAUUCAACAGCCUGAGAAGUUUGGUGAUAAUGACCCAAGCCCUGGCCUGGUGACCAAGUGGCUGCUCAGAGAGCUCUAUCUCCAAACUCCUUCCCUUCCUGCCUCCCCUCCAAGAGUGAGUAAUGUGCCAGAGUUCACUGGGGUCUGCUGUCCCCAGGGAAAGGUGGCCCAGUUGCCAAGUGCAAGUGUAUAGAAUGGCUUACCUGUGCAAAGCUAUCAGCCCUGGACCUAUGGGCCUAGAAACAUUACUUGCCACUCACUCACUCACUAUCAUUCAUUCAUUUCUGCAACAAACACUUCCUGAGCAUAUGCUAUACACCAGGCCCUGAGCUCAGCUCUGGGGAUACAGGAUGAAUGGCAGAUUGUGCCAUCAGGAAGCCGACUGCACAGUCAGCCCGCUGGAGCACAUAUGAAAAACAAUACGGAUGUUUUGAUUUAUUAUCAUAUUGAUCAUUAUGAUGGUAGCGUAUACUUUUGGAAGGCUUGCCAUACAUUAGGCAUUGUGCUAAGCACAUUAUAUGGUUAAUCUCAUCAAUCUUCACAACAACCUAUGUGGCAGGUACUAUUAUUAAACCCACUUCAAAGAGGAGGGAACUGAACCUCAGAGAGGGUAAGUGACUUGCACAAGGACACAAGCUAGUGAGGAGAGGAACUGAGAGGAAUGGCCGCACAGGCCAUCAGCCUCUGUCCCCACAUGCUGGGUCUGAGUGUCUGACGGUGGACACGUUCCCUUCCUGGAGGGAGAGCUCCUAGGGAGCUGAUGGCAGCACUGAGUCUGGAAUGUGAUGGGAGUGCAUUAGAUGACGUGGGUGAUCUGAUGAGUACAGAGGCGUCACACUGCAAUGAAUUCAUGCACAUAUCUCCCCUGAAUGCACAGAGAUUCAGCAGAGGCCAGGAGCUCAAGUUUCUGGCCCAGUGUCCCCCUCUUCCCCUGGGGAAAGCCAGGGACACACUGCCUGGCUUUGCUACACCUUGCUAGGCAAAGGCAGUAUGCUCUCCCUCUCCUUGGCCUCCCUGGCUGUCCACACAUCCACACCCACUCACACACAUGCACAUGAUCAUACACAUUACACAAGCCCACAUGCCCACAGACAUGCUCACACUCACACUCACAUGCAUACACUGCCAUACACAACACACAUACAUACAUUCACACACACUUGCACACACACACACACUUCUGAUGGCCAAUCUUUUGGGGGUAUGUUGACACUGUGAAGCAGGUGAAACAAAGUCUUUGCCACUCCCUGCUUUGGGCCUAUUAUGUUUGUUUUAUAGUUUAACUCUCAAAAGACAACUUUAUUUUCCAAAAUUAUUCAGGUUCCCAGCCAGGUGCGGUGGCUCACACCUGUAAUCCCAGUACUUUGGGAGGCCAAGGCGGGCAGAUCACCUGAGGUCAGGAGUUUGAGACCAGCUUGGCCAACAUGGCGAAACCCAGUCUCUACUAAAAAUACAAAAAUUAGCCAGACAUGAUGGCACACACAUGUAAUCCCAGCUAUUCGGGAGGCUGAGGCAGGAGAAUCGCUUGAACCCAGGAGGCGGAGGUUGCAGUGGGCCAAGAUCGUGCCACUGCACUCCAGCCUGGGCAACAGAGCAAGACUCCAUCUCAAAAAACAAAAACAAAAUCAUUCAGGUUCCAUAGGGGACCCUCACUGUGUCCUGGAUUCCAUUCCACUUUUAAAGUCCCAAACAGCUUGUAUGGCCACUUCCCUUGACACCCAAACCAGAUAGGAGUCUUAAAUGACACAGAGUAUUGAUGGUUUCCUUAAAAGGAAAUCCACUCUCAAUGGGAAGCUGGAUAACUUCGCAUCCAGAUUUCAUCCAUCUUGGGCUUUGGUGGCUGCUGUUUGUUUUUUGUGCAGGAGAAUCUCUCCCAGCCAACGUCGAUUUCACUAACACAGUGGUUAACCUUUGCUCUCUACUCCUGCAUCAAUCUGCCACCUACCGCAUGUUGAGCCAUGCUGCUUGCUGGCAUUCCUUUUGGAUUUUCAGUUUACUACCCAACUACCAGUCCUAAUAACAUCAGAUAAAAGGGCUUCUGCUGUGCUGCACUUAUUUUCAAAAACUAUAAAUGCCGUCGACCCAGAGUUAAGUCCAGCCUCAGAGAGACAGAAUAUAAAUACCCAAGUGGCCCUGGGCCACUGAGUUCCUCAGACAUUAUGUGCUAUGGGAGUUCCAGAAAGGGGGAUUGCCUGAUUUUGAGUGCAGAAGGCUUCCUGGAGGAGGCGAGAUUUCUGCUUGGCCUCUGUUAUGAGCUAAAUUGAGUCCACCCCAAAAUUCAGAUGUUCAAAUCCUAACCUGUAGUACCUAAGCAUGUGGCCUUAUUUGGAAGCAGAAGCAUAGCAGAGGUAAUUCGUUAAGAUGAGGUCACAGUGGAAGAGGUUGGACCCCAAUCUGAUAUAACUCGUGUCCUUAUAAAAAGCAGAAAUUUGAAGACAGACACACAAGAAGAUGAAGGCAGAGACCCGGCUGAUGCGGCUAUAAGCCAAGGAACGCCAAAGAUUGCCAGCAAAGCACCAGCAGCCAGGGAGAGGCCUCGAACAAAUUCUCCCUCCCAGCAAAAAGGAGGAAGGAAGGAACCUCCAAAAGAAGCAGGCCGGGCACGGUGGCUCACGCCUGGAAUCCCAGUACUUUGGGAGGUUAAGGCAGGCGGAUCACUUGAGAUCAAGAGUUCAAGACCAGCCUGGCCAACAUGGUGAAACCUCAUCUCUACAGAAAAAUACAAAAAUUAGUCAGGUGUAGUGGUGUGCACCUGUAGUCCCAGUUACUCGGGAGGCUGAGGCAAGAGAAUUGCUUGAACCUGGGAGGCGGAGGUUGCAGUGAGCCAAGAUCGUGCCAUUGCACUCCUGCCUGGGUGACAGAGCAAGACUCCAUCUCAAAAAAACAAAAAAGAACCCUACUGACACCUGGAUUUCAGACUUCCAGCCUCCAGAACUGUGAGAUGUUACAUUUCUGUCAUUUAAACACCCAGUUUGUAGUACUUUGUUGCAACAGCUCUAGUGAGCUAACACAGCCUUGAAGGACAGGUAGGAAUUUGUAAUGCACAGAGAAAGCCAACUGGCCACAGUUGUUGAAAAUAAUAGAAUCGAAGCGCCCCUAUUACUACCACCCCAGGCCAUCACUUUCAAAGCUGUUCAAAAUGAUGCAGCCACGUGAAAAGGCCGGAGGGCCAGGGCGGGAGAUGGGCUCCAGGUGGGCCCAGGCUGCCUGUAGAGCCAGCUUGCCCCACUGCCUGGUUGCCAAGGAGCACCUGUGGCUAGGAGGAGCUGCCCAGGAAGAAAAUUUGGCCACAUCCCUGCCUGCCUCCCUGGCAAUAGGUGAUGCUCUCUGCCAGCUGGCCCAGCUCCCCCACCACAUACCUGGCUAGGAGUCAGUAGGAAAACAGUGUGUGUUUGUAGGGCUCUGCACUGAAGGGCAUUAGAUCCAUGCAAAGGCUAAUAAAUUAGAGAUAAGUGGGAUUUGUCGAUUUGCUGGAGGUUAGAGCUGCAGGAUCUGGCGUCAGCUCUGGGUCUUUUCCAUGGCCCCAGGCUGGCUCAGGUGUGAGCUGAAGAGGCAAAACUGUCUGUUUAGGUUGCAUUGGGUUCCCCUAAAAGAUCUGUUGAAGUCCUAACCUUGGGUACCUCUGUUUGUGCUAUUUGGAAACAGGCUCUUUGCAGAUGUAAUCAAGGAAAGAUGAGGCAACGCUGAUUUAGUCAGGCCCUAACCCAGUGACUGGUGUCUUCAUAAGACAAGGGAAAUCUGGACACAGACACACAAAGAGGAAAAAGCCAUUCAAAGACACAGAGACACACGUACACAGGGAGAACGCCAUGGGACAAUGCAGGCACAGAUCGGAGUGAUGCAGCUGCAAGCCAAGGAGCGCCAAGAUUGCCAGCAACCCCCUGGGGCUGCAAGAGGUGAGAAGGAGCCUCCCCUAGAGCCUUUGGAGGAAGCAUGCACUGCUGAUGCCUUGAUUCCAGAUUUCUGACCUCCAGAAGCAUGGGAGAACAGAUUUCCCUUGUUUGAAGGCACCCAGUCUGUGGUCCUUCAUCAUGGCAGCCCUCAGGAAUGGAUACAGGCCCUUCCCUGCCUGCCUGGUGGAGCAGCCUCCAAGGGGAGCCUUUGCUAGCAGGAAGAGGUACCACAUGGAGCUCAGACCCGCCUCAGAGGAACUUCUCUCAGCCUCCUCUCUCCGCACACCCGACCAAGGUGUGAAAUCCCUCCCCUUUACCUCUGCCAUUUGCAGGUGGCAGGAUGCUGGAGCUGUCCCUGCCUCUCUGUAAAGUGGGGGAAGGGCAGCCCUCUCUGCUCUACUUUUUUUUUUUUCUUUGAGACAGAGUCUCGCUCUGUCUCCCAGGCUGGAGUGCAAUAGCACGAUCUCGGCUCACUGCAACCUCCGCCUCCCAGGUUCAAGCGAUUCUCCUGCCUCAACCUCCUGAGUAGCUGGAAUUACAGGCACCUGCCACCACGCCCAACUAAUUUUGUAUUGUUAGUAGAGCCAGGGUUUCACCAUGUUGGCCAGGCUAGUCUCAAACUCCUGACCUCAGGUGAUCCACCUGCCUCGGCCUCCCAAAGUGCUGCGCUUACAGGCAUGAGCCACCACGCCCGGCCUGCUCCACUUCUAAGGCUUCUUGUGACAAUGUAAGAGAAAGGAGAUGACAGAGCUUUGCAACGGGAGGAGGGCUAUGUGUUCUGGUGACCAACUCACUGUCUUGUGUCAGGACAGGAAGAAGCCCUUCAUACGGGCAGCAGGCUGGGAGCCAGGGAGGAGGAAAGACCACGAUCCACUCCCUGGUACAUGGCCCUUCUGCACCCCACGGUCUCUUUCCAGGUGCCACAACGAGAAGGCACACAUCCUUGGCACAGCACUUGAGGCCUUUCACCACUGGCUGCACUCACCCCUCCAGACUCACUGCCUUGCACCAACCCUUUUCCGCCCACCCCGCUCUAUGCUAUCCACAGCCUCCACCCCAGCCACCUGAUUCUGCAGGCCAAUGUCACAUUCUUCCAGUCCAGGUUCUAUUCUGGCAUUUCUUGUCAUUAUUUUGCUGAGAAUGUGUCUCUCUUGACUUUGAACUUAUUGAGAGCAGGAAUCAUGACUCAGCCAUAUAUCCCAGCACUUGGCCCAGGGCCUGUCGUUCCCAGGGUAGGUGGUCUAGGUUGAUUGAAGGAAUGGCAUUUAGUCUUUAAAAUGAAAGCAUGUUGCCUAGCUUGGUUAUUUUUGAACUCUAUAAUCAAGGACUACGUUUACCUGAAUAGCCUCUGCAGAACACCAAUUCCGUAAAGUGCUUCACACACACACACCAGUUCUAUAAUUUAAUACGUUUUGGAAAGGCUACAUACUACUACAGCCUCUUACAGAUUAGCAAUGUCCAUGAGCGCACUAAAGGCUGAGACAUUCUGCAGUAAAGAAACCUAUUUCAUUUUGUUUAACCAAGUAUUUCUCAAAUUUAUUUGAUCAUAUGUGGCAGAAAAUGCUGUGUCUGGCAUUCUUCAUUUCCCUCUUCCUCCUUUAACAUGGAACUCCUGAUGUCUUUAGCUUGGCACAUCGCCACCCAGAAUAAAAACUACCUUUCCCAGCUUUUCCUGCAGCUAGGGGCAGCCCUGGGAUAAAUUCUGGACAAUGAAAUACAGGCAGAAGUAAAUCAUAUACGAUUUCCAUGAAGGGACCUUAAACAGAAGUGUGCCCUUCUCUUCCCCACACAUUCCUCCUCCUGUCUGAAAUGUAGAUGCAACUGCUGGCAUUUGAGCAGCCAUCUUGGGCCAUGUGGUAGCUUCUUAUGGAUGAUCUAGGACUAAUUCAGGGGUCUAGAUUUACCUCCAAACUUUGUUUAUCUACAAAAAAUAAAACUCUAUCUUCUUUAAGC
rnacentral:antisense_RNA from 1 species